rnacentral:rRNA from 1 species
AUUGAACGCUGGCGGAAUGCUUUACACAUGCAAGUCGAGCGGCAGCGCGGGGGCAACCCUGGCGGCGAGCGGCGAACGGGUGAGCAACAUAUCGGAACGUACCCAGUCGUGGGGGAUAACUAUCCGAAAGGAUAGCUAAUACCGCAUACGUCCUGAGGGAGAAAGCGGGGGAUCGCAAGACCUCGCGCGAUUGGAGCGGCCGAUAUCGGAUUAGCUAGUUGGUGGGGUAAAGGCUCACCAAGGCGACGAUCCGUAGCGGGUCUGAGAGGACGACCCGCCACACUGGAACUGAGACACGGUCCAGACUCCUACGGGAGGCAGCAGUGGGGAAUUUUGGACAAUGGGGGCAACCCUGAUCCAGCCAUUCCGCGUGAGUGAAGAAGGCCUCGGUUG